GUCAGCUUUUGCCCAACUGUCAGCCAAGGGCUCUACAUCAACUAAUCUCGCUGAAUUGUCACAAGAACUCUGGGAGAUUGGCGUGCUAAUGGACUUUUAAAAAUGAGGAAACCAGAGCCAAGGAUAGAAGAAAUGCUUUAGGUUCAGAACACAUGGAAUGAACACGUCCUAGGCUGGCGAAGCGGGUCAAGGACCAUGGGCCCCGAACGGGAGGCUGCUGACACUUGUCAGGGAGGAAGAGGGUAACUGGUGACUGUCAGAGGCAGAGCGGAGGUUUAUUCUUGGAAGCAGCCCCCCGCUGCUGACUUUACUUCUCUUCUUGGCUGUGCCUAAGAGGAUUGCUGGGCCAGAGUUCCCUGUUAUCUGUUUUAUGGUGAGGAAGGACACACAGUUCUGCUUUGCAAAAGAACAUUGAACUUGUCUGAAAUGCCCUUGUUUCAACUCUUAGUCGUUACAGCAGGAAAUGUGAUCACAGAUCUUCACCCUGGAAACAAAGAGGGAUGAAUCUUUGGUUCUUAAAUAAAACACCAGUAAGAAUUUAAAUCAGCCAACACCUAUGUCAAACUUCAGUAGACAAUUCUGUUUCCUGUACACACAAAAAAUGUAUCCUUUCCCAGGAAUGGAGAAGGGAGGUCUUCAGAAGAACUUUAGCAUUUGAUGUUGUCCUGGAAUGCAUCCUUUGGAGUAGAAAACUUCCUUUACAAAGUCAACCGGUUAUUGACGGGCACCCUUCAGAUCAGGGAAUAUCAGUUGUUUCAAAGGUUGCUACCUUUAGUGAGUGCAUAAUUAGAUGGAUAUCACUGUGUAACAACUGUAAUUACAUAUAUAUCUUGUACCAGUGCUACCAAAGUUGGUGGCAACAGCCUUGGUCUUUACUAAAAAGCAUUAAAAAAAUGUUUUUUAAUGUUUAUUUAUUUUUGAGAGAGAGACAGACAGAGUGUGAGC